rnacentral:rRNA from 1 species
CACGUAGGGUGCGAGUGUUAUCCGGAAUUAUUGGGCGUAAAGAGCUCGUAGGCGGUUUGUCGCGUCUGCUGUGAAAACUGGGGGCUCAACCCCCAGCCUGCAGUGGGUACGGGCAGACUAGAGUGCGGUAGGGGAGAUUGGAAUUCCUGGUGUAGCGGUGGAAUGCGCAGAUAUCAGGAGGAACACCGAUGGCGAAGGCAGAUCUCUGGGCCGUAACUGACGCUGAGGAGCGAAAGCAUGGGGAGCGAACAGG